GUUAAUUCUACAUCAAGCCGGCGUUACAUGAGACGUUUGCGGGUCUAACGAAAAUAGAAUUAAACAAGAGGAGAACAAUUUACGAAAUAAAGCCCUAAUCCUAUUCCAUUGCUGAAUUCCUGUAAAUCAAAGAAGCAAAUAUGCUGAGAACGAGGUUGGUAUGGUUUACGUUUGGUUUCGCUUCCACAGCUGCUAUCAUGUCUCAGUUUGUCUACAAAGAUCUCUUGCUCGAUCGUCACUCUCUUUCUCUCCAGUUGAAGCAGCAGUUUGAUUCUUUGGAGUCCCGUGUCUCAAAUCUCGAAUCAGUAUCUCCCAAGGAUUAACAUUCCAAAUUUUGAAGACCUUGCUUUUUGGUUUACUCGAUUUCUUGUAUGUCACUUCCUAAUCUGCCAAGUAGAUGUUUUGGCACUUCAUUUGGCAUACUUGUGUUCCUUAUUUUGAAAAACAUAGCGGUUUUCUAUUAAAAAAAAAGAAAAAAAGAAGAUAGGUGUGUUGGAGAAAUGACUUUGAUCAAGAAAUAAUCUCUUUGAAAUAUGCUUCUGAUUUCAUCAUAUGGAGGAUUACUAUAUGAUUAUAGUGAUUACAUGCAUAUAAUGAAUUCAAUCGUACUUUGAGAUA